rnacentral:tRNA from 1 species
GAGGUUGUAGCUCAGUGGUAGAGCUCUUGCCUUGCAUGCAUGAGGCCCUGGGUUUGGUCCCCAGCACCACA